rnacentral:rRNA from 1 species
UACGUAGGUGGCAAGCGUUGUCCGGAAUUAUUGGGCGUAAAGCGCGCGCAGGCGGUUCUUUAAGUCUGAUGUGAAAGCCCACGGCUCAACCGUGGAGGGUCAUUGGAAACUGGGGAACUUGAGUACAGAAGAGGAUAGUGGAAUUCCAAGUGUAGCGGUGAAAUGCGUAGAGAUUUGGAGGAACACCAGUGGCGAAGGCGACUAUCUGGUCUGUAACUGACACUGAGGCGCGAAAGCGUGGGGAGCAAACAGG